CAACCGCCACUUGGCUUGUCCAAGUCGGUCCCAAACUUAUGUUCUCCAACUCUUCAAGUAGUCACACAGCUCAGCUUCUUGUACUGCUUCCUGUACUACUUCAAGUAUUCGCACAACUCACCUUCUUGUACUACUUCUUGUAUUGACGUCAGAACUAGUACAAGCACUGCUUCAUCUUCUAUGACAAUUCUAUCCAAUCACUUCAUGUAUCAUCGUAAUAUGUUGACAUGUUAAGAUAGCUUAUAAAACUCAUUCAACACCACAUCUUC
rnacentral:lncRNA from 1 species